rnacentral:rRNA from 1 species
GUGAACGCUGGCGGUAGGCCUAACCCAUGCAAGUCGAACGGCAGCACAGUAAGAGCUUGCUCUUACGGGUGGCGAGUGGCGGACGAGUGAGGAAUACAUCGGAAUCUACUUUUUCGUGGGGGAUAACGUAGGGAAACUUACGCUAAUACCGCAUACGACCUACGGGUGAAAGCAGGGGAUCUUCGGACCUUGCGCGAUUGAAUGAGCCGAUGUCGGAUUAGCUAGUUGGCGGGGUAAAGGCCCACCAAGGCGACGAUCCGUAGCUGGUCUGAGAGGAUGAUCAGCCACACUGGAACUGAGACACGGUCCAGACUCCUACGGGAGGCAGCAGUGGGGAAUAUUGGACAAUGGGCGAAAGCCUGAUCCAGCCAUACCGCGUGGGUGAAGAAGGCCUUCGGGUUGUAAAGCCCUUUUGUUGGGAAAGAAAAGCAGCAGGUUAAUACCCCGCUGUUCUGACGGUACCCAAAGAAUAAGCACCGGCUAACUUCGUG